UAGGGAAUCUUCCACAAUGGGCGCAAGCCUGAUGGAGCAACACCGCGUGAGUGAAGAAGGGUUUCGGCUCGUAAAACUCUGUUGUUGGAGAAGAACGUGCGUAAGAGUAACUGUUUACGCAGUGACGGUAUCCAACCAGAAAGUCACGGCUAACUACGUGCCAGCAGCCGCGGUAAUACGUAGGUGGCAAGCGUUAUCCGGAUUUAUUGGGCGUAAAGCGAGCGCAGGCGGUUGCUUAGGUCUGAUGUGAAAGCCUUCGGCUUAACCGAAGAAGUGCAUCGGAAACCGGGCGACUUGAGUGCAGAAGAGGACAGUGGAACUCCAUGUGUAGCGGUGGAAUGCGUAGAUAUAUGGAAGAACACCAGUGGCGAAGGCGGCUGUCUGGUCUGCAACUGACGCUGAGGCUCGAAAGCAUGGGUAGCGAACAGGAUUAGAUACCCUGGUAGUCCAUGCCGCAAACGAUGAGUGCUAGGUGUUGGAGGGUUUCCGCCCUUCAGUGCCGAAGCUAACGCAUUAAGCACUCCGCCUGGGGAGUACGACCGCAAGGUU
rnacentral:rRNA from 1 species